AGUUAGCUGAUGAGUCCUAGAUAGGACGAAAUGUGCAUCCUGGAU
rnacentral:hammerhead_ribozyme from 1 species